rnacentral:pre_miRNA from 1 species
AAAAAGUAAAUUCUAGGUUUCCGUGUCCAACUUUAACUGUCCGUCUUAUAUGAAAUUUUUUUAUAUUUCGUAUUUUUAUUGUUGUUAGAUGAUAAAACAUGAUUAAUAUUUUAUGCGUGACUUGUCUUUUUAAUUUUUUUCAUAAUUUUUUUCAAAUAAGACGGACGGUCAAACGUUGGACACGGAAACCAAGGUUUGUCUUUUUU